UCAGCAGCCGCGGUAAUACGGAGGGGGCUAGCGUUGUUCGGAUUUACUGGGCGUAAAGCGCACGUAGGCGGAUUGUUAAGUGAGGGGUGAAAUCCCGGGGCUCAACCCCGGAACUGCCUUUCAUACUGGCAAUCUAGAGUCCGGAAGAGGUAAGUGGAACUCCUAGUGUAGAGGUGGAAUUCGUAGAUAUUAGGAAGAACACCAGUGGCGAAGGCGGCUUACUGGUCCGGAACUGACGCUGAGGUGCGAAAGCGUGGGGAGC
rnacentral:rRNA from 1 species